rnacentral:tRNA from 1 species
GCAUUGGUGGUUCAGUGGUAGAAUUCUCACCUUCCAUAUGGAGGACCUGGGUUCAAGUCCCAGUCAGUGCA